rnacentral:lncRNA from 1 species
GUGAUUAUGCAUAGUAGGUUGAAAUUAGGUUUCUAAAAUAUCUAGUGAGGUAACUUUUAUUAUUUUUUGGAAAUGUAUCAUUAGGGUAAGUGAUAUGAUUAAGGUUCUACACGGUAGUAUAGGUGAAGGUAUUGUAGUUUAGAUCCAUUUUCUUCUAUUCAUGUUAAUAACUUCGUAGUGUGGCUUUUUAGUGCAUAUUUUUUGAUGUGGUCAAUGUAAAUAAUUUUACAUUAUUG